UACGUAGGGGGCAAGCGUUGUCCGGAAUCAUUGGGCGUAAAGCGCGUGUAGGCGGCUUCGUAAGUCCGUUGUGAAAGUCCAGGGCUCAACCCUGGAAUGCCGAUGGAUACUGCGGAGCUAGAGUCCGGAAGAGGCGAGUGGAAUUCCUGGUGUAGCGGUGAAAUGCGUAGAUAUCGAGAGGAACACCAGUGGCGAAGGCGAGUCUCUGGACGACUCCUGACACUGAGGCACGAAAGCUGGGGGAGCAAACAGG
rnacentral:rRNA from 1 species